GACGGAGGAUGCAAGCGUUAUCCGGAAUGAUUGGGCGUAAAGCGUCCGCAGGUGGCAGUUCAAGUCUGCUGUCAAAGACCGGGGCUUAACUUCGGAAAGGCAGUGGAAACUGAACAGCUAGAGUAUGGUAGGGGCAGAGGGAAUUCCUGGUGUAGCGGUGAAAUGCGUAGAGAUUGGGAAGAACACCAGCGGCGAAAGCGUGCUACUGGGUCUGCACUGACACUGAGGGACGAAAGCUAGGGGAGCGAAAGGG
rnacentral:rRNA from 1 species